rnacentral:misc_RNA from 1 species
AACUGAUACUACCUGCGGGAACCUGCGGAAGGAUCAUUACAGAGUUGAAAAACUCCCUAAACCCUUUGUUUAUAUACCUGUUCAGUUGCUUCGGCAGGCGGCCCCAGGGCGGGGCCUCCGGCCUGCUUAGGCAGGUGCCUGCCGCUGGCGCAAAAACUCUUGUUAUAUGUUACCACUCUGAGUCUCAAAAAAAUGAAUCAAAACUUUCAACAACGGAUCUCUAGAUCGGAAGAGCACACG